AAAACUGUUACCUUACUCCGCCCACCAUUAAAUCGUUUUAUAAAACUUUGAAAUCCCGCUUUUACAAGAUUUACCAAAAAGGGAAUCGAUAUGUGGAUGACUGCGAUGCGGCGGGGCUUGUGAAAGAUGUUGAAAGAAAUUUCUCUGACAGCAGCGCUUCCCUGAAGCGUCUGAGCAAUGUCCCUACGUAGAUUCCUUUUGAAAGAUAGAAACACGAACGAAAGAGGGAGCCGCAUGGAGAUAACCGUUUUGCGAGGAAGGAUGUUAAAUAGUAAACUUGAAUUUUCAGGGAUGCGGUUGAGAUGGAAAUGGAGGACUCGUGUUGCUAUGACAGCUUAUAAUAUCAGGCUUCCAAAUGCGUGUGUCAUCAUCCUUGCCGCAACCGCAAACUUUUGAAUCAAAAUGCUCAAAACGAAUGUCUUUGAAAUCUUAUUAAAGUUCCUAACUUAAUUAA